GGGGGGGGUCGGGGGUCGUGUGUUUUACGCUCAGAUGGCGAUUAGAACGGAACCUUUUGGCAUAGUCGGGAUGCAGCGGGCCCGGGGGACUUGUAGUGAGGGGGCGAGGGCAGCUGCGGCAGUGUGCGGGCUGGGGGGCCUGGGCGCGCUCGGGGGCCGCUUAGGUCGCGCGGCCGCCACGUGCAUCCCUAGAAGCUGAGUCCCCAGCCUCGUGCAUGCACUGUGGCCUGGCGGGCACCCAGCGCUCCGGGUGAGUCGGCCCAGGGCGCCACGUGGCCCUGUGAAUCCACUCUGCCGCUGCUGACCUGAACCCCUUCCGCUCCCCGACAACUAAAGAGCGAGCUACGUGGGACAGAGAAAUCCCGUGGCACAAGGAGUGUCAACGGCUCCAGGGCUGAGUGGCAAGUGAUGCUGUGGAAACAAAAUAACGUUCCGGAAACUACCAAGGCCUGAAUGUUACUCUUUCAAAGACAGUAAGGGAGUGCUUUCUUCUGUAAUUAAAUAAAAUGCUUGAUUCUUGUGGA